rnacentral:rRNA from 1 species
AACGAACGCUGGCGGCAUGCCUAACACAUGCAAGUCGAACGAAGUCUUCGGACUUAGUGGCGCACGGGUGCGUAACACGUGGGAAUCUGCCCUUGGGUACGGAAUAACUCAGAGAAAUUUGUGCUAAUACCGUAUAAUGUCUUCGGACCGAAGAUUUAUCGCCCAAGGAUGAGCCCGCGUAAGAUUAGCUAGUUGGUGGGGUAAAAGCCUACCAAGGCGACGAUCUUUGGCUGGUCUGAGAGGAUGAUCAGCCACACUGGGACUGAGGCACGGCCCAGACUCCUACGGGAGGCAGCAGUGGGGAAUAUUGGACAAUGGGCGAAAGCCUGAUCCAGCAAUGCCGCGUGAGUGGUGAAGGCCUUAGGGUUGUAAAGCUCUUUUACCAGGGAUGAUAAUGACAGUACCUGGAGAAUAAGCUCCGGCUAACUCCGUGCCAGCCGCCGCCGUAAGAC